UCCCGUGUGGCUCAGUUGGUAGAGCAUGGUGUUUGCAACGCCAGGGUUGUGGGUUCGAUUCCUACGGGGGAG
rnacentral:tRNA from 1 species